CACGUAGGGUGCGAGCGUUGUCCGGAAUUAUUGGGCGUAAAGAGCUCGUAGGCGGCUUGUCGCGUCGUCCGUGAAAACUUGGGGCUCAACCCCAAGCUUGCGGUCGAUACGGGCAGGCUAGAGUUCGGCAGGGGAGACUGGAAUUCCUGGUGUAGCGGUGGAAUGCGCAGAUAUCAGGAGGAACACCGGUGGCGAAGGCGGGUCUCUGGGCAGUAACUGACGCUGAGGAGCGAAAGCGUGGGGAGCGAACAGG
rnacentral:rRNA from 1 species